rnacentral:rRNA from 1 species
UUUACAGAGAGUUUGAUCCUGGCUCAGGACGAACGCUGGCGGCGCGCCUAACACAUGCAAGUCGAACGGAGUUAUUCUUGACACUUAGGGGAUAAGGGAUUGUCCUUUAAGUGUUGAGAAUGACUUAGUGGCGGACGGGUGAGUAACACGUGAGCAACCUACCUUCUAGAGGGGGAUAACGUCUGGAAACGGACGCUAAUACCGCAUGACAUAGUUAGAUGGCAUCAUAUAACUAUCAAAGGAGAAAUCCGCUGGAAGAUGGGCUCGCGGCCGAUUAGGUAGUUGGAGUGGUAACGGCACACCAAGCCGACGAUCGGUAGCCGGACUGAGAGGUUGAACGGCCACAUUGCCGUUGCGGACCUCGGCGGCCGACGUCUACCUGCGGCGUUUUCUCUUCGACGUGCGGCGCGGCACACCUCUUGCGACCUACGGGAAAACACGCUACCUCGGAGGCUACGGAA